GGGGGUAUGGUGUAACGGUUAGCAUCGCGGGUUUCGAACCCGCUGAUCUCGGUUCGACUCCGGGUACCCUCG
rnacentral:tRNA from 1 species